UACGAAGGGGGCUAGCGUUGCUCGGAAUCACUGGGCGUAAAGCGCACGUAGGCGGCUUCUUAAGUCAGGGGUGAAAUCCUGGAGCUCAACUCCAGAACUGCCUUUGAUACUGAGGAGCUCGAGUCCGGGAGAGGUGAGUGGAACUGCGAGUGUAGAGGUGAAAUUCGUAGAUAUUCGCAAGAACACCAGUGGCGAAGGCGACUCACUGGCCCGGUACUGACGCUGAGGUGCGAAAGCGUGGGGAGCAAACAGG
rnacentral:rRNA from 1 species